CGUCGGGACUUGUGCAAUGGAAACCUAUGAACCUCGUCAGGUCCGAGAGGAAGCAGCGAUAAGUAGUCAUUUCCAUGUGCCAUGAGGCAACCUGACGGGU
rfam:Megasphaera sp. DJF_B143 contig_2, whole genome shotgun sequence.